AUACGAACCGUCCGAACGUUAUUCGGAAUCACUGGGCUUAAAGGGUGCGCAGGCUGUUUUUUAAGUAGGAUGUGAAAUCCCUCAGCUUAACUGAGGAACUGCAUCCUAUACUGGGAGGCUGGAGUAAGAUAGAGGUGAACGGAACCGAUGGUGGAGCGGUGAAAUGCGUUGAUAUUAUCGGGAACACCAGUAGCGAAAGCGGUUCACUGGGUCUUAACUGACGCUCAUGCACGAAAGCCAGGGUAGCGAACGGGAUUAGAUACCCCGGUAGUCCUGGCUGUAACACUCUGUACUGAUUGGGGGCACGCUCCAUAGUGUCCCUGAUGUAGCGAAAGUGUUAAGUACAGCGCCUGGGGAGUAUGGUCGCAAGGCUGAAACUCAAAUGAAUUGACGGGG
rnacentral:rRNA from 1 species